CCAUUGUUUUUCUUCCCUGUGGCCCUGGGGCUGGGGCCUGGGUGAGCAGCGAGGGAGGUUGUCCUCUGGACUCCUGGGAAUUGACCACCAGCAUGCGCUGCUCCGCUGACAAGGGAAAGGGCCCUCUGGCCCGCACAGCAUGGAUAUGGGCAGAACGGUUUUUCCUAACUAGGCCUUCUGGGUUGCAGCAGAACAGCAUGUGUCUGCUUCUCAAAUGUAACAGGGCAAGAUGUUCAGGUCUUGUGUCCUCUGUGAAGCAGGGCUGCAAGGACCCCUUACCAAGGAGAAGGUGAGGAGAAGUAAUAGUGGAAAUAUCUAUCAGAACAGUAAAGAUAGGCACAGCUC
rnacentral:lncRNA from 1 species